AAACCGUUGAAAGGGAAGCGAAUGGAGUUAGCAAUUCGCCUCGCCAGAUUCAGCUUUCCGCGCGCCGCGACGCUCGCGUUCUCGAUCUUUAUAGACGAGGCGUGUGCGGACGGGGCCUGUGGGAGGCGCACUUCUGGCGGGCGAGCGUCAACGUCGGUCUUCGUCGAGUUACAAGGUCGAGAGGAAGGUGGACGAUCCCUCGGGAACGUUGUUAAGCCUCGCGAACGAACGACUCGUCGAAGACCGUGGCAAUUUGUCGCGAUGCGUGCCUGCCCUCGGGCGGGCUGGUGUCCUGCGUUGUUGGUCCGGUUGUCGACUGUGGCGGACGGCACGCCUGUGCGCUCGAACUGCUGCCGGUCAACAGCGCGGUGAUCACACACCACGCGUCUAGGACGUUGACGACCAUACGGCUCUAUCCGACCCGUCUUGAAACACGGACCAAGGAGUCUAACAUGUGCGCGAGUCUCUGGGUGAUCGAAACCCGUGGGCACAAUGAAAGUAAAGGCAGUUCAGGCUGCUGAGGUGAGAAGCGUCGGCUUACGGGCCGUCGCCGCAUCAUCGACCGACCUAUUCUACUCCUAGAAAGGUUUGAGUAAGAGCGUACCUGUUGGGACCCGAAAGAUGGUGAACUAUGCCUGAAUAGGGUGAAGCCAGCGGAAACACUGGUGGAAGCUCGUAGCGAUUCUGACGUGCAAAUCGAUCGUCGAAUUUGGGUAUAGCGGCGAAAGACUAAUCGAACCAUCUAGUAGCUGGUUCCCUCCGAAGUUUCCCUUAGGAUAGCUGGAGCUC
rnacentral:rRNA from 1 species